GUCGGGAUAGCUCAGCUGGUAGAGCAUGGA
rnacentral:tRNA from 1 species